rnacentral:rRNA from 1 species
GGCCUAACACAUGCAAGUCGAACGGGGUAGCAAUACCUAGUGGCAGACGGGUGAGUAACGCGUAGAUAAUGUGCCCUCUUGCGGGGGAUACCGUUUCGAAAGGAACGUUAAUACCGCAUAACACGGCCUGGAGGCAUCUUCGGGUCGUCAAAUUUCCGGAGCGAGAGGAGCAGUCUGCGUUCUAUCAGUUAGUUGGUGGGGUAAUGGCCUACCAAGACUACGACGGAUAACUGGUCUGAGAGGAUGAUCAGUCACACUGGAACUGAGACACGGUCCAGACUCCUACGGGAGGCAGCAGUGAGGAAUAUUGCGCAAUGGGCGAAAGCCUGACGCAGCGACGCCGCGUGGAGGAUGAAGGCCUUCGGGUUGUAAACUCCUGUCAGUGGGGAAGAGAAUGGACGGUACCCACUGAGGAAGCUUCGGCUAACUACGUGCCAGCAGCCGCGGUAA